rnacentral:rRNA from 1 species
UUCUGUAAGCCGUUGAAGGUGUGUUGUAAAGCAUGCUGGAGGUAUCAGAAGUGCGAAUGCUGACAUGAGUAACGACAAGGGGGGUGAAAAACCUCCCCGCCGGAAGACCAAGGGUUCCUGUCCAACGUUAAUCGGGGCAGGGUAAGUCGACCCCUAAGGCGAGGCUGAAAAGCGUAGUCGAUGGGAAACGGGUUAAUAUUCCCGUACUUCUUACAAUUGCGAUGGGGGGACGGAGAAGGCUAGGUGGGCCUGGCGACGGUUGUCCAGGUUCAAGUGCGUAGGCUGAGUGUUUAGGUAAAUCCGGAUACUCUUAAGGCUGAGACACGACGUCGAGCUACUACGGUAGUGAAGUCAUUGAUGCCAUGCUUCCAGGAAAAGCCUCUAAGCUUCAGAUUGUAAGGAAUCGUACCCCAAACCGACACAGGUGGUCGGGUAGAGAAUACCAAGGCGCUUGAGAGAACUCGGGUGAAGGAACUAGGCAAAAUGGUACCGUAACUUCGGGAGAAGGUACGCUCUUGAUGGUGAAGUCCCUUGCGGAUGGAGCUGACGAGAGUCGCAGAUACCAGGUGGCUGCAACUGUUUAUUAAAAACACAGCACUGUGCAAAAUCGUAAGAUGACGUAUACGGUGUGACGCCUGCCCGGUGCCGGAA